AUACGUAGGGGGCAAGCGUUAUCCGGAUUUACUGGGUGUAAAGGGAGCGUAGACGGAAGGCCAAGUCUGAUGUGAAAGCCCGCGGCUCAACUGCGGGACUGCAUUGGAAACUGGUCAUCUGGAGUGCAGGAGGGGUAAGCGGAAUUCCUAGUGUAGCGGUGAAAUGCGUAGAUAUUAGGAGGAACACCAGUGGCGAAGGCGGCUUUCUGGACAGUAACUGACACUGAGGUACGAAAGUGUGGGGAGCAAACAGGAUUAGAUACCCUGGUAGUCCACACCGUAAACGAUGAGCACUAGGUGUCGGGCUCGCAAGAGUUCGGUGCCGCAGUUAACGCAUUAAGUGCUCCGCCUGGGGAGUACGUACGCAAGUAUGAAACUCAAAUGAAUUGGCGGGG
rnacentral:rRNA from 1 species